rnacentral:rRNA from 1 species
UACGUAGGUGGCAAGCGUUAUCCGGAAUUAUUGGGCGUAAAGAGCGCGCAGGUGGUUGAUUAAGUCUGAUGUGAAAGCCCACGGCUUAACCGUGGAGGGUCAUUGGAAACUGGUCGACUUGAGUGCAGAAGAGGGAAGUGGAAUUCCAUGUGUAGCGGUGAAAUGCGUAGAGAUAUGGAGGAACACCAGUGGCGAAGGCGGCUUCCUGGUCUGUAACUGACACUGAGGCGCGAAAGCGUGGGGAGCAAACAGGAAUAGAUACCCG